rnacentral:rRNA from 1 species
UGCAUAUCCAAAAAGCGGAGGAAAAGAAACCAACAGGGAUUGCCUUAGUAACGGCGAGUGAAGCGGCAAAAGCUCAAAUUUGAAAUCUGGCACCUUCGGUGUCCGAGUUGUAAUUUGAAGAAGGUAACUUUGGAGUUGGCUCUUGUCUAUGUUCCUUGGAACAGGACGUCACAGAGGGUGAGAAUCCCGUGCGAUGAGAUGCCCAAUUCUAUGUAAAGUGCUUUCGAAGAGUCGAGUUGUUUGGGAAUGCAGCUCUAAGUGGGUGGUAAAUUCCAUCUAAAGCUAAAUAUUGGCGAGAGACCGAUAGCGAACAAGUACAGUGAUGGAAAGAUGAAAAGAACUUUGAAAAGAGAGUGAAAAAGUACGUGAAAUUGUUGAAAGGGAAGGGCUUGAGAUCAGACUUGGUAUUUUGCGAUCCUUUCCUUCUUGGUUGGGUUCCUCGCAGCUUACUGGGCCAGCAUCGGUUUGGAUGGUAGGAUAAUGACUAAGGAAUGUGGCUCUACUUCGGUGGAGUGUUAUAGCCUUGGUUGAUACUGCCUGUCUAGACCGAGGACUGCGUCUUUGACUAGGAUGCUGGCAUAAUGAUCUUAAGCCACCCGUCUUGAAACCA